rnacentral:rRNA from 1 species
UACAGAGGGGGCUAGCGUUAUUCGGAAUUAUUGGGCGUAAAGGGCGCGUAGGCGGCUUUUCAAGUGACGGGUGAAAUCCCUCGGCUUAACCGAGGAACUGCCUGUCAGACUGGAAGGCUUGAGACCGGGAGAGGUGAGUGGAAUUCCCAGUGUAGCGGUGAAAUGCGUAGAUAUUGGGAGGAACACCAGUGGCGAAGGCGGCUCACUGGACCGGAACUGACGCUGAGGCGCGAAAGCGUGGGGAGCAAACAGG